rnacentral:lncRNA from 1 species
GUGUCUCUGCCUGGCCGCCCAUCGUCUGGGAUGUGAGGAGCCCCUCUGCCUGGCUGCCCAGUCUGGAAAGUGAGGAGCGUCUCCGCCCGGCCGCCAUCCCAUCUAGGAAGUGAGGAGCACCUCUUCCCAGCCGCCAUCACAUCUAGGAAGUGAGGAGCGUCUCUGCCCGGCCGCCCAUCGUCUGAGAUGUGGGGAGCGCCUCUGCCCCGCCGCCCCAUCUGGGAUGUGAGGAGCGCCUCUGCCCGGCCGAGACCCCGUCUGGGAGGUGAGGAGCGUCUCUGCCCGGCCGCCCCGUCUGAGAAGUGAGGAGACCCUCUGCCUGGCAACCACCCCGUCUGAGAAGUGAGGAGCCCCUCCGCCCGGCAGCUGCCCCGUCUGAGAAGUGAGGAGCCUCUCCGCCCGGCAGCCACCCCAUCUGGGAAGUGAGGAGCAUCUCCGCCCAGCAGCCACCCCAUCCGGGAGGGAGGUGGGGGGGGGUCAGCCCCCCACCCGGCCAGCCGCCCCAUCCGGGAGGGAGGUGGGGGGUCAGCCCCCCCGCCCGGCCAGCCGUGCCAUCCGGGAGGGAGGUGGGGGGGUCAGCCCCCCGCCCGGCCAGCCGCCCCGUCCGGGAGGUGAGGGGCGCCUCUGCCCGGCCACCCCUACUGGGAAGUGAGGAGCCCCUCAGCCCGGCCAGCCACCCCGUCCGGGAGGGAGAUGGGGGGGUCAGCCCCCCCACCCGGCCAGCCGCCCCGUCCGGGAGGGAGGUGGGGGGGUCAGCCCCCCGCCUGGCCAGCCGCCCCGUCCGGGAGGGAGGUGGGGGGGUCAGCCCCCCGCCCGGCCAGCCGCCCCGUCUGGGAGGUGAGGGGCGCCUCUGCCCGGCCGCCCCUACCGGGAAGUGAGGAGCCCCUCUGCCCGGCCAGCCGCCCCGUCCGGGAGGGAGGUGGGGGGGUCGGCCCCCCGCCCGACCAGCCGCCCCAUCCGGGAGGGAGGUGGGGGGGUCAGCCCCCCGCCCGGCCAGCCGCCCUGUCCGGGAGGGAGGUGGGGGUGUCAGCCCCACGCCCGGCCAGCCGCCUCGUCCGGGAGGGAGGUGGGGGGGUCAGCCCCCCGCCCGGCCAGCCGCCCCGUCCGGGAGGGAGGUGGGGGGGGUCAGCCCCCCUGCCCGGCCAGUGGCCCCGUCCGGGAGGUGAGGGGCGCCUCUGCCCGGCCGCCCCUACUGGGAAGUGAGGAGCCCCUCUGCCCGGCCAGCCGCCCCGUCCGGGAGGGAGGUGGGGGUGUCAGCCCCCCGCCCGGCCAGCCGCCCCGUCCAGGAGGGAGGUGGGGGGGGUCAGCCCCCCCCGCCCGGCCAGCCGCCCCGUCCGGGAGGUGAGGGGCGCCUCUGCCCAGCCACCACCCCGUCUGGGAGGUGUGCCCAACAGCUCAUUGAGAACGGGCCAGGAUGACAAUGGCGGCCUUGUGGAAUAGAAAGGCGGGAAAGGCGGGGAAAAGAUUGAGAAAUCGGAUGGUUGCCGUGUCUGUGUAGAAAGAAGUAGACAUGGGAGACUUUUCAUUUUGUUCUGCACUAAGAAAAAUUCCUCUGUCUUGGGAUCCUGUUGAUCUGUGACCUUACCCCCAACCCUGUGCUCUCUGAAACAUGUGCUGUGUCCACUCAGGGUUAAAUGGAUUAAGGGCGGUGCAAGAUGUGCUUUGUUAAACAGAUGCUUGAAGGCAGCAUGCUCGUUAAGAGUCAUCACCAAUCCCUAAUCUCAAGUAAUCAGGGACACAAACACUGCGGAAGGCCGCAGGGUCCUCUGCCUAGGAAAACCAGAGACCUUUGUUCACUUGUUUAUCUGCUGACCUUCCCUCCACUAUUGUCCCAUGACCCUGCCAAAUCCCCCUCUGUG